GAGCUCCAAACAGGGCUGAUGCUGUCUCAUGCGGUCAUAACUCAGAUAUUCACUUAUUCUGGUAAUCGUAGGUUCAUCCAAACCCACAUCCAAAUGUAUCUUGACACCAAAGUUAGUGUAGGUUAAUAUGUGCCGUAUAGAAAACAUCUCCGGUGGAUCUCUUUGUCAUCACAGGAAUGUUGAAGCCAUCAGGACCAUCAAGGUGACAUUUUUAUCAUCAAAGAAUCACCUUUCAACGUUUCAUAUUUAGUGCUGUCCAAACUCCAAACAGGACAUUUUAUGGCAUUGAAGGAGACAAGGCCUUUGAAAAAGUUUUUAGUUCUUAAAGCUUCUCUGGCAGAUGCCGCCUGAUGGUUAUUGGACUGUAGGGCUCAGGGCUCAGGGCUGGUGGGAUUUAUUUGCUUCUACCAUUUUAUUUUUUUGUUCCAUAACCCUCAGGAUGUUUGAAGAAGUUUAAAAUCACUGUCUUACUGCAUCUGGCCUCAGCAGCAAUGGUGCUGUGAGAGGCCUUGCUUAUGCAGUUCAACCGUCUGACCAUUCAAAGAGGGUAAAGGUGAUUCUUUGAUGAUAAAAAUGUCACCUUGAUGGUCCUGAUGGUAAUUACAGGUAGGUACAGGUAAUUGUAUUUAUUCUUUAAUGGGUGCAUCAAAGUGCAUCCACACCAUUGAAGCAUAUUUAGGAAAUUGCUGUUGUAUUCAGCUAUUGUUAUAACAUUGUAGCACAAGCUCAGCACCUCUUCUGUCAGGAAUGCUGUCUUUCAGAUAUGCAAGGUUCUGGGGCCUUAUGUAUCAAUGCUGGCGGCGCCAGAAAACCUUGCGUACGCCAAAAUCGGCGCACACGUCCAGAUUUAUCAUCGCGAAACGAGCGUCGGUUCCAGCGCUAAUCAACGCAAAGUCAGGAGGUGGUGUAGAAAUUGGCGUUGAGCCGAUACUUGCGUUGACUGUGAUUCGCACUUUGGCGACGCUGUGUGGCGGUGUUUGGUGACUCACUAUGUGACAAGCGUGCACCACAUCCCCGUGGCCGAGCAGCACGUCGCCCCACAUGACGAACCAGCAGCAGACAGAGGGAUGCGAGCUGAUCCCUGCCGGGCCGCCGUCCUCGCGCGGGAGAAUCUCUUCGCCACAGUGUGAAUGGGUAAGAAGUGAAUACACAGUUCAAUGAGCCAAAUUAAUUUAUUUUCUCCACCAGACGCUCGAGGACAUUUACAAGCCGGUCCAGCCGCUUGUUGAUCCCCGCGAUCCCCCUGAUGAUUUCUUCCUGCGAUUGCAGGACCCCCUCUACGAGGACCCUUCCACUGCGUCCGGGUGGUCCGGCGGAAGCGUCACGGCUGGUGGACGCUCCACCACUUGUCGGCGCCCUGGUGCUGAUGCUGGUGCUGGUGCUGGGGCCGGGGUGGCCCGAAUGCCGCUGGUCCUGGCCGACGACUCCGAGCCGGCGGACGGGCUGCCGCGGGCCGGGGUUCCGCAAGCCGACACACUGAUUUCUGUGACACAAUAAAAAUAUCUGUUCAUUUCAAUUCCUGCUUCUGUGUAUCUGUUGCAUUUACAUCUCUCUCCACGGUAUCAUAGGUAAUGUAAUCCAGUAUUUAGAGGUCAGUUAUGCACAUUACAGUUGUUUAUUGCAUAAAAAGUUAUCGAAAAAUGAAGUUAAGGGCGAAGUAUAAAUCACGUCUAAAAAUAGACUGAAUCCUGACGUUGAAAUGAAGUAUAAACUUAGACUAGACGUCUAAUAUACGUCUUUUGCUCAGUGGGAUGACAAAGCAUGUGGACAUUUGUGUGACACGCCACUUACCCUAUAAUAAUAAUCGCCACCACCCGCUGCUCAAACGGUGUGAGGGUCUCCUCCCCCGGACCCCCACCUGUCUGGCCAGUACUCCUCCGGAGGGCAGCUGUGCGCCGCUUGACCUCCACCUUGAGGUCCGACCACUUUUUUUUAAUCUUCGCGGGGGUUCGUGUCUCGGAACCCACCGCAUUCACCCUGUGGCAAACUUUCUCCCACUCCAAGCCUUUUCGUUUUGCACUGACGCCACUGGACAGGCUGCCAAACAAAACACGCUGUCGCUCCUCCACCUCCGCCACCAGCACCUCCACCUCGCACGCCGUAAAUUUAGUUUUUCUUGUCAUUUUGUCUGCGUGCGAGGACAGGGAGACCCUAUUUAAAUAAAUCUGCAUAUUUAUAGAAGGGCGUAACGGGGACGGGCCCAGUCACUCCGACAUCUGCGCUCAAUUCCACGCUGAUUGGGAUUUAUCAAGGAAACACACGUGGAUUUCGGCACCCGCACACAUUGAUACAUACGGAUUUUUUUCAGCGUGACGGACCUUGCAUGCGCUCGUUUCUGGUAUGAGUUCCACGCAAGUGUUGAUACAUAAGGCCCCUGGUCUUUUUGUCCUGCAAAUACCAGCACCACCUUGUUAUGUAAGUAGUGGUGCAAGUUUUUUUUUAAUAAUGGUGCUUAAACUUUCAUUCAUUGUUGAAUAAAUUUAUAAAGGUUUCAUUAACAUUUGUGUAUUUGUGGGGAUAUUAAAAUCAACAAGUGAAGACCAAGUAAUACAAUAAAUGUUCAAUUACAUUGAACUCAAAUUUAUGUUUUAAUGAACCAAUAAAUUGAUUUGAAUGUACACAAUUAAAAAAAGUUGAUAGCAGUUAAGGCAACACAAUACAUUUUAGUUCAAUGAACAUGAAUGGGUAUUUGAGUUACAACAACAAAUGUAAUGAAUUUGAAAUUACCCAAAGAUAAUGUGUACAUUUAAAUAAAAAAAAAUAAAAAAAGACCAAGAUAAAAUUAUUGUGUGAAACUGCUAAAAUGAAUAAAAUUGGGUUAAUUGAACUAAAAAAAAAUUUUUCAGUGCAGUGUGGAUCGAGGCUUCAGUCUCAUAAGGUCAGACAGAGAUGCUCAAGCUAGUGGCAAGAAGAAAGGAGGAGGUCUGGCUUUAUUUGUCAACCAGAGAUGGUGUAACCCUUCACACAUAACUGUCAAGGAGAAGUUGUGUUGUCAAGAAACUGAACUGUUGGCAGUUGCUCUUCGGCCAUGUUAUGUUCAAAGAUAGUUUAGUCAUAUCAUAUUAAUAGUUAAUUAAUUAAUCCCAUGUGAUCUUUUGCUUAAUAGUGUUGCCAGGCUACAGACUCAACACCCGGAGGCACUAAUAAUAACGAUAUUAUCAGGAGACUUCAACCAUGUUACCCUCUCCUCUCACCUGACUGGAUUUACACAGUUUGUGAACUGUUCUACCAGAGAAAACAAAACCCUGGAUCUGCUGUAUGCCAACAUCAAAGAAGCCUACAGAGCUACCGCCUUACCACUGUAGCAGAGACAACCGCUUCUCACCUUAAAGCACCACCAAAGGAAUUCAGAGUGACCUAGUUAGGUCCCAGAACAGAGCCACAGCACCAAAUCUCAAUCUGUUAUGUUAUUGUUGUGUAAUUGCAAAAUGAUAAACUUUUUUGACAAAGUGGUCCUGACUGAACUGCAUUUACAGUAUGACUUAAUCUACUACAUCUAAUUAUCAAUGGUAGUAUUGUUAUUGUUGUUUUUGUUCAUGAUCUAUAUAACAUAUUGCCUUUGCUCAGAAAUAAACUAACUGCCUGAAGGUAUACAGACCAAUGAGACAAUAUAAAAACUCCCCAUAGUGCCUUUAAAAAUACACAAGAAAAAAAAAAAAGGCUGCUGCAGAUUUUGCUGUCCAAAAGCUAGAAUGAAAAACAAAACAAAGCAAAAAUAAGUGGCUUGUUUUUGUUCUUACUUCAAUAAAACAAACACAGGUGUCAUUAUGUUCUUGCUCUGUUAUGUAAUCAAGUGAAGUAUUGCUACCAAGGCUUCCUUGGGUUUCUUCAAUCUAAACAAACGAAAAGAUCAACAGGUGAGAGUGCUUGUACACUCAUCACUUGCACCGUAUAAUUACGGCUCACCCACACAACCAGACCCUUAACUGUGUUGAUACUUGACCACGGAGGAGGCAGACUGUGUUUAGCCAGCGGAGAGGCUUCACAGACCACUCUAUAUGAUGAAAACAUGGACGCACAACAGCUCAUAGGACAGAUACCACACUGUCGGAGCAUGCAUUUCAUUCUGCUCCUGCUUUUGAUAUACCUCCUCAGCUUGCUCUCUUUCCUGGCAUGUCUCUUAUUACAAAUGCAUGCCUGCUGCACGUGCCCACCUUUGCUGCCAUCCAAAGCUGUGGGUUUUCUCCUUCUAACCACAGAGAGGAGAGCAGGGGCGAGGAGGCAGAGAGGGUUGAACGAGGUUUUAUGAUUCUCAACACCAUUUGCAUAAUAGCAUGCAUCACAUGCAGAGUGAGUACACAGUGCCAGUACGGAUGAUCAGUUUUUAUCUCUAAACUGCACCAUAAAGAUAAGAGAAAUACAUGUGGAUAUAAUGUAAUCUUACUUCCUACUGCCCAUGUCAAAUUAUUUAGGACUCCACAUCCCUGCAGCUACAUGAGCAGAUUAUUGCAUCAUGAUUUCUCAAGGCAAGGAGUCUCAUUUUAAAUGAAGUAGGGUUUAUUAUUGGUACCUGAACUGGUGCAUUUGUAUUACACAAUGUUUCUGCUUUGUAUUACUGAUUUAUUGAUUUAGGACUUUAUGGUAUUUUACAAGCUUUUACAUAAAAAACUGGUUUUGGUGCACAAUAUAUUUAACAACUGAUCAUCCAUCCCUCUGAAGCUCAAUUUUUUAUUUGUAACGUGGCAGUAUUGUUGAGCUGUUGAUUUGAGAUAAGAUUGUCUGUAUCAGAGGUGUGAGCAAAUCCCAAACAGUCCUACUAUCAUAUUUACAUGCAUUAAAAGGCUCUGAAAGCAGUAUUAAAUGCUUGAUUCUGAUUGACCAAAAACACCUGCCACGGUUAUGAUUUUCUGAGUCACAGAGUCAGCAGAAAGAGGUUACAGUCAUUAUCUGAAAAUAGCAUGGACAAAGGGCCUUCGUUUUUGUCUGAAGUGAGCUGAGAAGCAAAGAGAGUGCAUCCACAGACAUUUACAUACAUUAUGGUUACAUACAUGCAUUAAAGAAAUGCACCAAAACUGAUAGAGUAACAGGACUGCAGUUACAUCUUUUCCCUCAGUCUGAACACACCAAACCAUUAGAUAAAGCUCUGAGGAUCCCUAAGGUAUGUAUGGUCCCGAGCAGAGCAAAAUGUUGUGUUAGUUUGACUCAGACAUAUAUGGCUACGGGAAGUUCAGUGAUUGUUAUGUUAGCGUUUGUUAACUUUUCUUUUGCCAGUCUUCUACCUUGCUGAUCUGGUACAAAACGCUGCAGCAGCAGCUCAAUACAAUCAACAAAGCUAAGAUGACUAGCACAGUCAAUUUAGACACAAAGUUGAGUUAAAGAGAAAUCUACCAUAUUGAAGAAAACAAAGGAACCACUUGUGCUUUGGCAGUGUUUUUCUACAGGUGAAGAGGAAAUGCCAAUAAAAAAGUGAGGGGGAACCUGCUGUCUCUGCUGCUGUUACUUUCUGCAUCUGUUAUCUCUGCAAGAUGUUCACAGAAAAAUGCCAUUUUCGAGACCUUAACCUGAAUGAAAAUGGUGGAAAAGACAAAGUCCAGUUGAGGUCAUCGUCAUAUCUUACACUGUUGGGAUUCUGUUUUGCAUCAUCAUCAGAUAACUAUACACUGUCUCUUACAGGGUGCUUAUUGGCUCUUAAAAACAAAGACCAAACUAUAUGUUUUCUCUUACAUAUAAAUAGCCACAGAUGUCAUUCUAAAGAUGCACUGACUUAGUUUUGUAUUCACUGAAAAAACAAUGUAGCAUCUCUGUGUAUUAAACAGUUGGAAAUAUUUUACAGACUUUUCAUUGAUGCUCCAUGAUUUAUCUGAGACACAAAAGUAAUGCCCACCAGCACCUCAUCUGAUUGUCACCUGUAGUGUCCUGUCAGUCUCUGCUAACCCUCUGUCAGUGCUGUGCUUGUUUGACGCUGCCUUAUUGUCUCUCUUCUGUCCCUGUCUUAUUCAGUUGUUUCUACAGACAGAGGAGAGUUUUGAUAAGUGCUGGUCGACCAUCUAAACAUUGUGUUUGAAGAGUCGGCUCAUUGUUUGUGGAAAAGCAUUGCUCUCUUUCAGCUAUACAGACCCACAGAAUAUACACUGCAUGUACAAAAGUCAGCAACCAUUUCUCUCUACUGUGUUCAGAGUUAGAUGUAAUAGUCCCUCUUUACAUAGAAAUGAUUACUGGAGUUAAAUUUGACUUUGACUUUAUUCCACAAUAUUUAAAAAGAUUCAUAAGAAAAGACCAGAAGCACAUCAUGCUGUCAACACUUCCUCAUUGUCCUGAAUCGAUCUACUAUUUAUGUCCAAACUAAAACCACUGCAGCCCUUUGCCUGAACAAGAAUGGAAUCUGACCACCUUGCAGUGACUCUCUCUUUCAUUGUCACAUGACCAUGGUCACUUAACAGUGAUCAAAAACCCAGACCUGCCCCCAGCUGAUUUGCUAAUGAUUGCAGGACAAGCUUUGCUCCAUUUUUUCCAUUAGAGAUGGUUGGGUCCGAAAAUCAGAUGUCUUCAAUGGGAUUUUUGGUAACUAAAGCCUGUCAUAUAGACAGACAUUCGUCUCUAUAUGAUUGUUUACUAUGAUUACAAGACUACAAUACCAUUUAGCAGACGCUUUUAUCCAAAGCAACUUAGAUACGAAUCAUACACCAGUGGAGGACACAGGCUGGGAGCAUAGUAGGUUAAGUGUCUUGCCCAAGGACACAACUGUGCACUCCAGUGAUGUGAUGCAGUAAUCCAGUCCGCAUGUCCUACAGUAGAACACAACUGUAUCUUUAAUCUUUAGUCUGAUAGGUUGAAAUAGCCAAGAGUGAUGACCCAGAGCCUACAAGGUUCAUUUUUAUUUAAAAGUAAUGCAGUUCCAAUUCUUAGGUACAGUUAAAAUCAAAUACAGUAAACUCUUCAUGGGUCUCUGCCUUUAAAUUUAAUUUUACAGAAUCCAUAGAAAAACUUAAAACAAAUAUUGAGUCCUGGAGAAUAUUGCCCCUAUGAUCGGCCGGGUAAACACCAUCAAAAUGGUGAGCCUACCCAGGUUUUUAUACCUCUUCCAGAACUUGCCUAUAUUCUUAAAUACAUCGUUUUUUAAGAAGCUUGACUCUAUCGUAUUGCCCUUUGUGCGGGGUUACAAAUCAUACAGGAUAUCUAAGGCUCACCUUCAAAAACCUUCCAGGAAUGGUGGUCUGGGACUGCCUGUUUUUAAACAUAACAACUGGGCAGCCAACUCCAGGGCCCUUUCUUACUGGAAGGGUGGAAGUGUUAAACCAGAGGAGAACCCUUUGUGGUUACAGUUGGAAGCCUCCGCAGUUGACAUGUCAUCACUUCAUGCACUUUUGUUUUCUGACCCCGCCCCAGUAGUGAAACUACUUAAACAUAACUUCACCGUGAAGAAUUCUUUACGCAUUUUAAAGCAAAUAAAAGCAGCGUGCCGGGUUCCCGGUGUCUCCGUACAUGCACCCAUAUGUCAAAAUCAUUCUUUCCUGCCUGCCCGGUUGAAUGGAGUGUUUGCGGUCUGGAGGGAGAAGGGUGUUAAAACAUUUUCAGAUCUGUACAUUAACGGUCAACUGGCAUCAUUUGUUCAGCUAAGCAAAAGAUUUAAUCUUCCAAAUUCUCACUUUUUUUCGUUACCUCCAAGUCAGACACUAUGUUAAGGAGAAUUGGCCACAUCUCAAUUCCACCCCCACCACCCAUCCCAUCCUUGAGACCCUCCAGCUCCCUCCAGGCUCCAAACAGUUAAUAUCGAAAUUUGUGGGUUCAUUUACUAAGUCAGUUUCCUCUGAUUUUAUUAGGGAAGCUUGGUCCAGGGACUUGAACUCUGAAAUAUGCAUGCAAUGUCUCAAGUCCAUUGUUGUUCUAUUAACUCACGUUACAGGUUAAUUCAGUACAAGGUGUUGCACAGAUUGCACUACUCCAAAACAAAACUAAAUCGUAUUUUCCCAUCUGUGUCCCCUGUAUGUGAUAAGUGUCAUAUUGUUGAGGGCUCACUAGCGCAUCUUUUCUGGUCAUGUCCCGAGUUGCACAACUAUUGGUCAGCUAUAUUUGAACAUUUGUCCAAAGCUUACUCCAGAGCCAUUCAGCCGAACCAUGCCCUGGCCAUCCUUGGAUGCUCGACUGAGACUUCUGAUUUUCCGCAUGACACUCAAGUUGCUGUGAACCUAGGGAUGGUGGUGGCCAAGAAGAUUAUUCUCUUAACUUGGACGUCUAGCACUCCUCCCACCUUUGCUCACUGGCUCAACGAGAUGUUGUCGAUUAUUCAAAUGGAAAGACUGCGCUUGCACAAACCCAACAAUCCGAACAGAUUUGAGAGAACUUGGGGACCCUUCCUGGCUCAGUGUCAGGUGUGACACCUGACUUAAUCUUUCAUAUGAUGGUACUUGGUUCAACAAAUGCAACUGUUUCUUUUUUCUGAAAAUUAAUGUAAAACUACAAUUGUCUGGCAGCCCUUCUCUCUUUUUUUUUUCUCUCUUCUUCUCUUCCUCCUUUUGAUUGUUUCUUUACCAUUGUUUGUCCUGUACAGUUUUGUAAAGUUUAAAACUGAAAAUAAAGUAUUAAAAAAAUAAAAUAAUAAUAAUAAUUUAAAAAAAAAUUAAAAAAAGUGGGCCACUCUGAAAUUUUAAAAUGUUGACAACACGGAUGUGGGAGAACACAGCGAUAUUAUGAUAUUCCCAAAUGUCAUCAAUAACUAAUAGCUACUGACUGAUAUAAAAGCUUUUUUGUAUAUGCGCCACAAAAAAGAUGCUUCUUUAACAGAAUCCUGCCUACCCCACCUUUAAAUGUGGUCACAGUCAUCUAUUCUUUGUUCUUCAUGGUGUCCCUUAUCCAGCGAAGACCUGCCAGGUGCUUUUUAUCCUGCAGAAGUUGGUUCUGGCUGACAAGGUUCUGCGGCGAGCACCCAAGCAGAGUGCUCUGGGUGAAGCCACUUCACAAGAGGUUCUCUGCCCUUUUAUUGGGCAGGAUUUAUUAAAACAGCCAGCUUCUGACAAUUCAAUUGAAAAUCCACUGCUGGGUCUGUUUUCCUUCCAACUGCAGUGACCCUAUCAGAGCAGAUGUAGGGAGGGGGAGCGGUAAAGUGACGAAGAGGAGAAAGCAAGUUUUUAGAGAACGUGAGAUGACUGGCAGGUAGUCGACUGAUAAAAAAGGAGUCAGGUUUCAAGCUGUAAAUGCCUGUAGUUAAGAGUUACAGAGUUGGAUGUACAAUGGGGGCUGUUUCACAUGAAAACAGCAGUUUCUCAGUAUGUUUGUUUCUUUAUAAAGCUCCCUGUUACCCACUGAAAACCAGUGUGUGUCUGAUUUUGCCCUUUUACCAUAUCUCCCAUGGUAUUUGGGUCAAACGCCAGUUUUCAUUUGCCUCUGCUGCCGUGUUCACACACUUUGUGCCAAGCAUGCCAGCAUGUGACAUUCACAGCAGCUCACGUAAAGGACAGCAGCCUAUGCUUUAUGCAUGGAUUCUCCAUCCUAAAAACUUAUUUAAGCAGCUUUGGCAUAAGGCUCAUAAAGCUCCCUUGUUGUUCACAGAAUGAUUACCAAGUGAGCCUCAAGCUUCACCAAACAAUGAGCUGAACACAAGCAUGGUGGCAGAUGCCAUAUGAAACACAGGCACUGUGAGGUCAGCUGGUGCAUGGAGGAUGUUUCUCUUCAAAGACUUGUUGAGAUUAUUUUGGGAGAACAGACACUGGUUUACACUCAAUGUGGCUUUCUGGUUGCUAUUGAUCAGUGAAGCCAAACAGGAUUUGACACAAAGUGCAUAUAUUGACAGAGCAGGUUUUGUGGGGUUAGCAGAUGAUUGAUAAUAUGCAUAUUACACAUAUAUAUAUAUAUAUAUAUAUAUAUAUGACUUUUCAAAUAAGGUCUGACUUGGCUCUAAGAAAAUAUACUUUUUUUCUGUCUUGAGGGUGUUACAUUACGUACUUGGCAAGAGUAAGUGUAUUAUUCCCUUGUCAGCUUUGUUGAGAAACUAACCAGAAAACCAAACCAGAAGCUAGUAGUGGUGGGCCAUAGUGCAAGAUUUGGUAUUGAUCCGAAACCAAGUAAAUAUAGGGCCAAUAUCGAUAUUGAUACUUUUAAUAUCUAGGUUGACAUAUCAUUAAACUGUUGACCGUUGAGGUGUUUUUGUGAUUUUUAGCAUAUGGGUCAAUGACGUAUAAGGUUUUUCAUGCCAAUUUUAAAAUACCAAAAAUAAGAAUAUCUUUUGCAACAGUUCAAACACUAAGGAUGUUGUGUAUACAAAAAUUAACGUUAAAUUUUUAAGUUAGGCAAUUUUAGUGUUUUUUUUUUUUAUGUAGAUGAAUUGCCCGUGGCCUUAAAAAAUGUCAUGUGGUGCGACCAUCAUUUAUCUCAAAAUUAUUACAUUUUUCAAAAGUUUACUGUUUUCAGUGCCAUGCUUUAAUGCAUCUGCUCAUAAGAAACAAUGAAGUGAAAUGUGAUCGUAUGUGAUGUUACAAACAGUUUAAUCAUAGUGAGUGAGUAAAUUAGAUCUAGCUCGCUUUUAAUAUCAAGUUGAGUUAAUUCGCUGCCAGUCGAUGGGCUGCACUGGGUAACAACGAUUGGAUGUGCCCCCUCCCUCUUAGUUCACGCCCACGUGAACUGCUUAAAAAGAGUUGAGCUUUGGCCGCCCUUGGUCUUUUGUCUUAGUCUUCGUUCCAGUCUUGCUUUUUGUCUUAGUCUUGUUUUGUCUUCGUUUUAGUUCCUUUGUCUUGUUCUUAGCUUUUCUUUUGUCUUCGUCCAUCGUUUGCAAUUUUCUCAUUUUUACUAAUUGCCUUAAGCUCAGACUUUUCCAGAAACUUGGAUGAAACCAUACCCAAGUUCCUUUAAAGCAUCAGUAACAAGCUGCGCACAUAGAGAACCUCAGUCUAAGUCUUUUAUUUUAUUUUUGUUCGCUAAAGUGACUCCUGAAGAUAAUAUCGGCUGGCCAGCAAAAUUAUUUUCUUAAGUUAUUGGCGCGAGUUAAUCUGCAACCAAGCUAGUCCUGAACGCCGACCAGCAUCAUCUGCCGAGCUGCUUUGCCACCUGGUUCCGAGAGGCCCAGAGAUCUGAAGUAUCUAACGACCCUGAUACGGUCCUGAAGCUGAGAUCCAGACACGGCGGAAGAACUCCCCGCCGAAUCUUCAGUUCCGGUCCGGUAGCCACAGAACUUCAGCUGAUCCAUUCCAAGAGUGCCGCUGAGAACCGACAUCCAAAGUAGGCAAACUCCUCGAAACUGCUGUGAUGAGAACUGGGUGAUGCCGUCAGCCAUUCAGUAGCUUACUCUCAUAGUUAUAGUUUAGUUCUCUAAAUUCCUUUUAAAUUUACCCUCGUAACUCCGUUAACGUAGGUUAAGUUUUCCCUUAUUCACUCACUAUCAUUAACCUCCAGUCUUAGGUUUAAUUUAAACCAUUCCUUCGUUUAUUCAUUAGAUGUGCUUUGAUUUUCUCAUUAUUUGAUCAUCAUUUAUUGACGUUUUGUUAUCAUAUAGCUUGUUAAUAAAUUGUCCAUUUAAUUUUAAAUUGUCGUCUCUUAGUGGUCUUUCCAGAAAGUAGUCCCUGAAUGAAGAAUUCCGGCCUCAGACGAGAGACUGAUUUAAAUCUGUUUAAGACUGAUUCAACGUUUAAUUACUCAAUUGAACUUUGUUUCGUCCUUUUCCCACCAGAAAGGUGGGUGGUGCCCCUUCAACGAGUGCAUAAAUGUCAUAACUUAAUUUGAUUAAUUUUCGACAUAUAUUUUGAAUUCAAAUCGCUACAUAUUAUUCGGUGCGGCCGUGCGAGGCUCAUUUCAAACGACUUCUGGAAACACUAACAGACAACUUUAAGAUUAUCUUCCCAAACUAGUGAGAAACCCAACUUUCCCAACUUAGACUUCUUAAGAUCUAUGCUAUGCUUGCUGAAAUUACUGGAUUGAUUGCUUAAUGUAUGUCUGAUGCAUUUUUGAAAUUGCUGAACUGGGCGUUUGAUGUAUUUCUGUUUCAUGUUCUGAUGAUAUGAGCUCUUGUUAAAGCGCUGAUUUUGCUGCUGCAUACGUAUGUGUGUGAGCCUAGACCACGUGGAUCAUUGUUUUGGAUUGCAGCGAGGCUGCGUUUUUCUGCUCUGCGCGCCGCCGAUGCGCGUACCCAGAUUGUUAACUUUUGAGUGCACGAUUUCAGCGUCGCCGUACGCCAAAUGAAAAGUGGAAAAUAAAAAAGUUGAUUGAGUUGGAAAUCGAGUUGUCCUGGAUCAUUUGGAACUGAAAACUGUGGGGACUUGACACACAUAAAGUUGCAUAUAUUAAAACCUCACAUAAAAAAGGUGGGUUGUGUGCACAGAUCACAACAUAAAUUCCAAAAAUGGCAUUAAAAUCGGAACCAUCUGUGCGUAAAUGACACAUCGUGCUCCGUGGCCUGGCUUUUUCUUUCAUAGAUGUUGGCAUAUAAAAUAUAUUUGGCUAAAAAAACUGAAUAUUGUAAUAUUCGCAUGUAGGCUUAAAGUAAAUAACUCAUCUGAACACUGAAACAAAUCAUCUGUUCAGCCGCAGCAGGAGGGGGAGAGGACAUGGAGACAUGUCCAGGUCGAGCUGCAUGAGAAGUAAGAGGACGAGGAAGAAAGAAAAGGAGAAAGACAAAAUUACAUAUCUUGUUAACUUCAUGUGUGUUUAUUUACUAGAUAUAUAAUUUAAUUUAAUGCGGUUUCAGGUAUGUUAAUUCGGUCAGGUUGAGAGUCCAAACGCAUGCCAAACACGCUCAUCAAAUAAGAUAUAGUUUAGAAUAUAUCUAUAUAGAUCUAAAUGUAUGUGCUGACUCAGAUUAUUUGUUGUUAAUUAUUUAUUGCACUGAAAUGUGCCUGACACUGUGGAAACCUGCCGGUGAGGCAUCAGUGAUGUAUGCCGAUACGCAGCUGGUCUGCCAAAAUACCACUAGACCAGCUGCGCUCCGCCUGUGCUGAAAGCUGACCAGUGCUGCGUCCGAAUUGCCCGCUCGGAUACUACAUGCUACUGCUACAUACUACUGCUAGAUCCUACUCCUACAUACUAAACACGUUGGCCCAAUUCGGACACACUAGAUGAGCGGUGGGGAAAGACGACCCCCGCAGGCAGAGAGUAGGUACUGCGCCCGUGCAGACAGUGGUAACUGAAGCCCCUCAUCUGCGGGCCUGGCUGUAGUACUGCAGCUGUGCAGUUCAAUGAUGGAAUAAGUGAGCUUUACUUCCAUGAUGUCGCCACAUAUUUGCUCAUAAAAUGAUUACUUGGGCAAAUAUGACACCAUGACAUGACAAAGAGAUACAACCGCACAUUUUUUAGGACAGUGUGUGAAGUUACAUGAAACUUACAUCUGUACUGCUGCGGUCCCGCCUGCUGCUGCUCCGACAUGGUGCGCGCUGCUGUGGCCAGCCGGCGUUCGCGACACAUUUAAAUAGGCAGAGCAGCUGGUGGCGCUAGCAUCACAUGCGCUUCUACAACUUUUGAGAGGACGAAGAAGAAGCCCGCGGUGCAUUUUGGGUCAGUAGCAUGCCCGUAGGAUGCACCGAGACCAACCUACAAUGUGGGCGUGUCUAGUAUCUGAAGUAGUAUCUGAAGUAGCAUGCUACUCGCUCCGGUGGCCAAUUCGGACAUGCUAGAUACUACUUCGACUACUACUUCGACUACUACUUGGCAAUUCGGACGCAGCUCAGGUUUGAAUCGGCGAGCUUUCAGCGCACUUUACGCGGCGGCAGCAGGCACAAAAAUGUUACUGCGCUGAUUGUGUCGACACCUCCCCCUGCUACGCCACCAUGCCCAGCUUGGCGGAACUAUGUCCUAAAACGAAUCAGGACACAUAAAUAAAGUAAGGGGAAGGAAGGGAUUAAAGGUCUACAUUUCCUGUCAGUUUGUUUCAUUUCAUGUAACAUUAAGUUAUUGUUAGAAAAAAAAAGCAAGCAAUUGAGACAUUAAAAGACACACAGCCACCGAAACCCAUAUCAUUUCCCCGCAGACUGAGCAUAAUGUUGUUGACAAUUUCACGUUGUGAUGAUGUGGAUCUAUAUUUCAAUUCACAGCUCAUAAUUGCUCUGCCGCUAUGCUGCCUUUGUACUGCUGUUCGUAAUAAAUGCAGAGCUGAGAUAAUCUGUUUUACUGUGAUAGAAAGAUUCAUUAAUAUGGAGAAUAUACAGCAUAGCUGUAUCAGUGCUAGCAAGUAAAAGCAUAAAUAUGAUGGUCCCCCCCCCCAACACCCUGUUGCAGAAACUGUCUGGAUGGUAUUUGUUUAAUUUUGGGAAAGACUAAUGAUGUUUCUCCAUCAGGUUUGAGGGUUAUGCUCUGAUCAAGGUUACCACCCUCUGUUUAAUAAUUAUAAGCUCACGCAUGAUCAAAGGAGGUUAAUCCUGUGUUUUAUUGGAAAUGAACCCACCAAAUAAUAAAAAGUGGCUCAUGCAUCAAAAAAGCCGUCAAGGUAACUUUCUGGUUUAUCUUACCACAAGCCUCAAACCCUUUUAAAUCAGGCAUAUGUUCUUCCAAAUAUGCGUAUCUUUCCCACCAUUGAGCAUGAAUCAGAGGCAGAAAAACAGGUGCCGUGCAGUAAAAGAGACUAAUGAUCAAUCAGCAGACCACUCUCAGCCAUGCACUGUUUUGUAGCUUUAACCAAAGCCAGCAACGGUGCAAAAGAGCUGAUGUUAAUGCUUUGGGAAUGCGCACAGGGAAAAACAGCAGUCAGAUGAAUAUGCCUUCUUCUAUUGUUGCAAUGUUAUGACCGGUCUAAUGAGAUCUAUGGAGAGUUGAGCCUCUCAUUUUGUUGUAUCACCCAUACACUCUCCUGCACAGUAAAUCCACUGUGGGAUUGUCUUCAGACACAUCCACUCAGAUGGAUGGAUGCUUUUGCUGAUGUUCCAGACUAAAGAGCAUCAUUCAGUGCCUUUUUUAUAUUUUAUGUACAAAAACAUCUGAGUUCUGUGAUGACACAUUUCUUAUUCCCAUAUGCUGUGUUGAAAGAGAGAAGCAUGCUUUCAAAGGUGUCUUUGCUGCCAACAAGGAAUUGGAGUUGUUUUUCUUCCCUAUUUGAGCACAGUAAUAAAUCACUUCGACAAACACUUUUGUUUUUUUCAGAUCUCAUCAAAGCAGUAUGAAAUAAUCCUGAUCUCUCACCUCAGGAAAGUCACAGUCUGCUCCCUCUGUGUCGCCUGCAUAUAUGCAGGUGCACACUUGUCACACAAUGCGCCUGCACUUCAGCACAAUGCAGCAGCCACCUCUGCUAACUCAGAGGUAGAAGAACAAUAGAGGAGCUCGACAACAGCACAGUGGCUGCCACUAAGGUCACACCCACAACACAACCUGCGUAUUUGUUAGCAGUUUAAUUUUAGUGCUGCCAAACCAUCUGCUCAGCAUUUGUAGAUGGCAGAGCAAGCAGUGAUUAAUCAGUCAAACUAUUGCUUCCAAUACUUCGACUCUUCAUUUCCACUUUUAAAGCAGGCGAGUGGAAUUGCUGCUCUUUCAUCAGUCAGAGGUAAAUGAUUCAUUCUCAGGCCGAGUAUGCAAAAUAAAAUUACAGUCAGAUGACUCUGUAGCUGCGUUUCCAUUACAUUUUUUCGCAAAAUAAAAGCGAUGUUUAUCAAAUUUCGACAAAGUACAAUUGCGAUUUGCGGGUGUUUCCAUUGAAUGGUGUUCAGUGCAUAAGCGAGCCGUCUGCCUCUCGCGAGCCGUGUUUAAAUGGCCGUUGCCUAGCAACGAGGUAAACUUCCUGCCCGUGCGACCUCGUAUUCCUUAAGCCUUUUUGCACACCAACAUGGACGAGACACAAAACAUUUUGUGUUUUGGAGCAGCUAUUUCUGUGACCAUUACUGCUGUUGCCGCUGCUGUCAUCAGAAGACGAAGGCAGCGGGUGAUAAUUCAAAGGCAAAGCUUGUAUGUAUGGGAGCGAACACGGAUGAGGGAUUUCUGGGAGAGGAUCGUUAAUGAGGAAUUCACAGACUAAUUGUGGAUUCAAAACUUCAGAAAAAUACAAAUACAAUUCAAAACUUCAGAAAUAAGUCCGUCUCCUCCCCCGUCCACAUAUACCGUGCCAUCUACGCUUGAAAUGAACUGGUCACUUGACCCGCUACGUCACGUCCGGUGACAGAGAAUUGCGAGAAAAGUGUUUCCAUUACACUUUUGCGAUAUACUUCUAUAUCGACACGUCUGAAAAACCACCUCAUGAGAGCGUAAAAACUUUUUAGCGAUAUUUGGGAGGUUUUUCGAAAUGUAGGUGUUUCCAUUACCAGUUUUCUAUUGCGAUAUUUACGUUUUGCGCAAAUCUAUGGGUAAUGGAAACGCAGCUUGUGAUAGAUUGGAAGAAAGAUGUGGUGUAAAUUCAUAAGAAUGAAGGAGCGGCUCACAAACUUCCAAAUCUCUGAUCAGACAUUAGACUGUGUGCAAUUGCAGUAAACAAAUAAACCUCUUCAUAAUUUACAUGAAGUAGUGCUCUUCAUUAUUGUUUGCGCUUUUUUUCACUUCUUGCCUGGAUGUCAAUACACUGUCUAACCAAACAUUACACUCUUAAAGGCACAAUGAAGAGGUUUAGUGUUAAUUUGGGGGUCCCUUUUGGACAAACCUGGACGUGCCUUUGCAGAAAACUGCAUUUCCCAUGAGCACCAUUACCCACUCUCAUAAAGAUGAGACUCUUACCAAAAUGUGCAGAUGGAUUUAAAGGGGAAUUUCUGCGUACAUUUAAGUUAUGGUCAAACACACCUUAACACCGAGUUACACUCGAGGGAUGAAUGUUGUUGACUGCUUGCUUCUCUAGUUAUACCAACUUUAGUAACGACCACAUGAUAGCAAUACACAGCGGUCUAUGGAUCCACGCACACACCUCAACCAAAAUGCCGCUCUAUAGCCACAAAUAAUGCACAGAACAGCACCUAACUUGGUGUUUGUGGGGGAGCUUUGACGAGUCAAUCACCAAGUGCAGCGGAUCAUUUCCUUGAAGUCAUAAUCAUCAUAAUCAUGAUUUUGCACUGCAGACACGGUAGUUAUUCUGCCUCGGUCUGAUUGCAUUUCCAUGAAGAAGUGAUCAUAAAUGUUCUUCCUGGAGCUGCGUCACCCCGAGCUUUCCCUACAAACAAGCAGCUGCUGCAAGAGAGUGGGUGAGUUGUGUAGCAAAGCAAUAUAUGCUUUGCCUGGUUUCUUGUGCUGUUAAUAUGUACUGUGGCGAUAGAGUGGCUUUUUGGUUGAGGUGUGCACAUGGAUCCAUAGACCGCUGUGUAUUGCUAUUGUGCGGUUGUUAUGAAAGUUGGUAGAACUAGAGAAGCAAGCGGUCGGGAACAUUCAUCUCUCGACGGGGUGUCUAACUCAGUGUUAUUGUGUGUUUGACCCUAACUUAAUUUUACAACAGAAUAUCCUUUUAAGGUAAACAAAAUUUAUGUAAAGGUUCCCAAUCUGUAUAAAAAAAAAGUAUAUAUUUAGUAGUUGCAAGCUGUGUUUUUUGCACACUAGAAAUUACUCCUCUUUUUAAAUCUCUCUCUCUAUAUAUAUAAAUAUACAUAUAUAUGUAUAUAUAUGUGUGUGUGUGUGUGUGUGUAUGUAUAUCUAUCUAUCUAUCUAUCUAUCUAUAUAUAUAUAUAUAUAUAUAUAUAUAUAUAUAUAUAUAUAUAUAUAAAUAGAUAGAUACUCUUGAGGGCAUUGGUGAGAUGUUUCAGUUGCAGGAGAAUAAGCUGUGUCCAUAUGUUUAUUUAAUCCACAGCAGUCAAAUCUAAAGGUAUUGGGCUCUAUUUUCGUGUUCGCCGGUGAGGCGGCAGAGGGUGGCGGACCCCGCGCAGUGGUAUUUUUGUCUUGCGGAGCCUGACGUACAGCCAGUUUGGUAUUUUCGUAGACUGAGGCGCACCGAGGUCCACCAAACUGGCCGUGGUGGCGUGGCAGGGGGAGGUGUCGAUAGAAUCAGCCGCCGGCGUGUAAAGUGCGCUGAAAGCUCACCGAUUCAAACCUGGUCAGCUUUCAGCGCAGGUGGAACACAGCUGGUCUACCGGUAUUUUGGUAGACCUGCGGUGUAUUGGCAUACGUCACCAAUGCCUCACCGGCAGGUUUCCACAGUGUCAGGUACAUUUCAGUGCAAUAAAUAAUCAUCAACAACAAAAAAUCUGAGUCAGCACAUACAUUUAGAUCUAUAUAGAUAUAUUCUGAUCUAUAUCUGAUCUGAUGAGUGCGUUUGGCACGUGUUUGGACACACAACCUGACCGAAUCAACACAGCUUAAACCGCAUUAAAUUAAACUAAAUAUCUAAUAAAUAGACACACAUGAUGGAGUUAACAAGGUAUGUAAUUCGUCUCCCUCAUUUUCUUUCUUCCUCUUAUUUCUCACGCAGCCGGACCUGGACAUGUCUCUGUGUCCUCUCCCCGUCCUGCUGCAGCGGCUGAACAGAUGAUUUGUUUCGGUGAUCCGAUGAGUUAUUUACUUUAAGCCUACAUACGAAUAUUAUAAUAUUCAGUUUUGUGAGCCAAAUUUAUUUUAUAUUCCAACAUCUAUGAAAGAAAGAGCCAAGCCAUGGAGCGCGAUGUGUCAUUUACACACAGGUGGUUUUUAAUGCCAUUAUUGGAAUUUAUGAUGUGAUUUAUGCGCACAACCCACCUUUGUCACGUGAGGUUUGAAUAUGUGCAACUUUAUGUGAGUGUCUUUAUUUGUGGAAAGGGUGUUUGUCGUACUAGUGGGUCCAACAUUACACACACCAAAUCCAUCUGAGCUUAUAUGAGACAGUGUGCAGGACGCCCUCUGCAGCGCUUACAGCAACACUUGUUGAGGGGCUGCCUUCUGUCGCCAUCGUGUGGCAUUACUGUCUUCAGACAUCUCUUGAUCUCUUUGACUACUUCACGAAAAUAGUAAUACGCCUCGCCAGUGGCGGAUUUAAAGGCGAGGAGAGGAGCUGAUGUUAUUGGUCAAUACAGGUCUUGGCUGUGUUAAACCCACUCCACACCCUCUCUCCUCCUUCGCUACGAUUUACGCCACUGGGAGGAGCUGAGUUAGGGAGGGCAGAUACUUACGCCGGGCUGCGCCACUCACCAAAAUACCAAAUUGUGCUUGGGAACGCCUUGUUGGUGUGGCGGACCUGACUUACGCCGUGCCUGCGCCACAUCUCUGGGGAAGCACAAAAAUAGAGCCCAUUGACUUUAAGUGUAAGUUUUGAGGUAAUUUACGUUGACAUUUUUAUUGAAGAAUUUGAACUCUUCUGAGGUUGCUAAAGCUUCAAAUUCUCUGAAACAAUCCAUGACCUCAAUAUGUGAAACACUAGCUGGCUGCAGAUUCAGAGAUACGUAUUAUGCUGCAUUUGUCAGAGGGUCCAGGCUCAAUAACUGUGUCGACUUAAUGUCUUACAGAAGACUGAGUCAAUCACUCAAGUUGCACCCCUGAUUGCAAUGAACUUUCCCACUAGAACUUCCAUUCUUCGUGUUUUAAUCAGCCCAUUCCUCAGAUAAAAAGGGGUGGGGGAGAAUAAAAAGAAGUCUUUCAUAUUCUGUUUCGAAAAGGAACUCAAUUAAGAGGUCCCAAAAGGGCCCUUUAAUGGUUUAUGAGGAAAGCAGUGAUGAAAGAGAGAGAGGUUAUAAAUAUUUCAGGUAAUUUUGUUAUCUAUUCAUCUCUUCUUCCACAUCUACUCUGUGUGCGUCUCAUUAUCUCACAGCCAGAUUGUUUUACCCACCAGCUCAUGUUUCCGCUGCCGCAGACAAUACAUUUAGUGCGCCUUUUUUAUUUAAUUAAUUUCAUGUUUAACGCUGUUAUUCUGAUAACUUACAAUAUUAUCCUUUACAUAAAAAUGCUCCCGUCUGUUACAGAUUGAUAUUUAUGUAAUUUACAGUAUAUUCCUUUUUUUUUCCUGGGAGCUUUUACAUCACUGAACAGUGGGGGUCAAACACAUCUAGCUUAAUUUAUAACUCUAUGCUCAGCCAUGGUGCUGCUGGUGGACAGAUGUAUGCACAGGCACAAGAUUGAUCCAACCAAAUCCAAUAAUUUCUACAGUCAGUUUGAUCUCUUAUCACUCUUCUGUCUGCUCCAUUAAUCUUUGCACAUCAAAAAAAAAAAACGUGUCAUAGAAGAAAGUCAGAUUUUGCCAAAUUUCUCUCAGUUCUUUUCUUUUGGCGUGUUCAAAAAGUUAGGCAAGUGAUCCUCAGAGCAGCAAGGCUCAUUUAGAGUACACACUCUGGCUUCAAUUCAUCACACAUGUACCCGCAAACCAUCAUCAUGGUGAUAUCUCAGUCAUCAUCAUCAAAGGUCAAAAAAAGUAAUAAGCUGUAUUUAGGUAAUGGGAUUAUUAUUAAAAUAUUUUAAUGUGCUUCAUUAACGACAGAAUGCAAAUCAGGGACAUGAACAUGAAAAAAAAAGUGGGAACAAAGUACAGAAAAGUAAGUCUUUUCUAGCAAUAUCCUGUGGUGCAAAACACAUGAUCUGCUUUAAAUUCAACAAACUUUGAGAGAUCAGUGAAAAAGAUCAUUAAUAUAUGAGAGAUUUAUUCACCAUGAAAAUGAAGAUUUGCAGCUGUAUGUUUUACACAGUGAUAAGUUAUGGAAAAAUCUGUUUGUUCUAAAACUUUUAGAUGUCUUUUUCCCUUAUCAUCAUAUAACCAUCAGGAGACAACAUGGUAGGAAAUCUAGGCACCAUGAUUUUACAAUUUAUUUGUGAAACCAUCUUUAAAGGCUCAUGUUCUGCAUUAUGGACAAAGUUAUCUUCCAUUUGGAACCAGAAGUUAUAAUCAGGGAUGAGGUUGGAUACAUAUUUAGAAGUUUUACACUGUUUGGCCACUCAGCAUGAGGCAACUAAUCAAUUACAGGUAUGCUUUCAAGUUUACCUAACUUUCUAAUGUGCAGGUGUAAUUUAAAUGCCACCACAAGACUUUAUGCUACUCUGUAUACUCACUACAAAGAUGAUUACUGAUUCAAAUUAAAUUACAGUGGACUCCUUUUUCCAUCUGGGUUCUUAACGCAGAUACUCUUUUAUGGGGCUGUUUUGCUGCAGCGCGAACUGGAGCUGUUCAUUAAAAGAGACGACAUCAUGAAGAAAGAACAUGACGUGAAAAUAUGAAAGCAACAUCUUAAGACAUCAGCCAGGAGGCUAAAACUUGGGUGCAAAUGUGUCUUCCAAAUGGACAAUGACCCUAAAUAUACUGCCAAAACAGUUGAAAAGUGGCUUGAGAACAAAUUCAAUGUCUUGGAGUGACCAUCACAAAGCCCUGAUCUGAAUCCCAUAGAAAAUUUGUGGGCAGAUCUGAAAAGGCAUGUACGAGUGAGGCGGCUAACAAACCUGACUCAGGCUGUGUCUCAUUUCAGAGACCGCAUCGUGAUAAGCGCGCUUAACGGCGCUUAGCUGAGUGCACUGCCGUUUUGAGCCGUUUUACGCCGUUUUGCGCCGUUCUGUGCCCUUCCUGUGUCCCAUUUCAGAUACAGCAGCCAUCGAACGGCGCAUCUGACACGUACGUGAGGUCACCACGCGGCGCGAACGGUGUCCCGUUUGGCACAAAAUACUAAGCGCGCUUCAAAUUCGGUCUCAAAACCACACUACCCCCGCCUCAUUUUCAAGCGUGCAUGUAUGCACGCUUUCGUGCCGUCGGUAUCCCAGAAUUCUUUGCGUGCCGCUGCACAGCUGUGCAUUUCAGGUGAGAGGCUGGACUCGCUUGGAGACACAGCGCGUCUUCGAAGAAAAUACAAGCAAUCCAAAACCAUCAGACAGUCAGCUCAGGCUGUAUGAGAGCAUGAUCUCUGAACUCACUAAAAUCUGUAAACCAAACAUUAUAGAUUUAGAGACGAACUGAUCCGCUGUGUUACAACUAUCAAAAACAUUAGAAGUGAGAAAGCUGACAAAACUACAGCAGAGUAUCAGGACAACAUUGAGGUUUUUUUUUCUUUUAAGAUUUAGAGAUUAAAGUGGUAAAUUUAGGAGAAUAAAGUCAUAAAGUAAAUAAAGUCAUAAAGCUGCUUUUGCGGAGGGGGAAAUGACUGAAGCUGGUCAUCUGCAGGGUUAUCUGUGGAUGUAUCAGCGGGUCAUUAAGAGAGAUUUUGUGGUUUCUGAAGAAACAAUCAAACUGAUGAUAAUCAACAUUUGUGAUCCAGAGGGAGUCGAGCUCCGACGAGCACCACGUCUCUGACACCGGCCGUAGCCUACACCUGCACCAACACCUUAUUAUGGCAUAUGGAUUCAUAUCAUAAAUUAAAGCUCAAUGUCAUUCACGGAUAUUAACGGCUGCAUUGACAGAUAUAUCCUCAGCAUAUUCAUUUCUGCCUCCACAAAAGCAGCGAUUUCCUUCAAGUACACCAAUAUUUUUCCCCCGUGGAAAAGACGUAUUUCUCAUAUAUUCUUUUUAAAGUCUUUAUACUUAUGACAAUGUUAUGCUGAUGUGCCAGAGGAUGAAGAAUCUCCUUGUUUGUGAAACCUAUACUGAAGCACAGUUCCUUCAAAUGCUUCAUGGCCCUAAUUUUAACAAGUCUCUCUGAAAUAACAGGUUAUGACUUCAUUCUCAUAAAUUAAUGACUUUAUUCUCGUAAAUUCACGACUUAAAUCUCGAAGUCCUUAAAGUCUUAAAUCUCAAUAUGGCCCUCAUACUCCUUCUUACAAAACAAUCAUUGGAUGAAUUGUGCUUGUAUGUAUCUACUAUUUUGUGUCUGUGCAAGGUCGCACAAUUAAAGCAAUAAAUGCUGCGCUCCGCGGGUUUCCUUUAAGUCAGUCGUGACGCGAGCCUGAGGGCGGGGACAUUUGGCAACUCCACCAGGAAGUCCUCCGAAGGUCUCCAAAUGUCCCCGCCCUCAGGCUUACGUCACGACUGAUUAGAAAAAAAGCUGCGGAGCGCAGCAUGUAUUGUUUUAAUUGUGCGACCUUGCACAUACACAAAAUAGUAGAUACAUACAAGCCCAGAUCAUUCCCACAAAAUUAAUCCAAUGAUUGUUUUGUAUGAAGGAGUAUGAGGGCCCUAUUGAGAAGGAGGAUAGGAGAUACUUCAUCCUCUGGCACAUCAGCAUCACAUUGUCAUAAGUAUAAAGACUUUAAAAAAAGAAUAUAUGAGAAAUACGUCUUUUCCACGGGGAAAAAAACUGGUGUACUUGAAGGAAAUCGCUGCUUUUGUGGAGGCAGAAAUGAAUAUGCUGAGGAUAUAUCUGUCAAUGCAGCCGUAAAUAUCCGUGAAUGACAUUGAGCUUUAAUUUAUGAUAUGAAUCCAUAUGCCAUAAUAAGGUGUUGGUGUCUCUGCAGGUGUAGGCUACGGCCGGUGUCAGAGACGUGGUGCUCGUCGGAGCUCGACUCCCUCUGGAUCACAAAUGUUGAUCAUCAUCAGUUUGAUUGUUUCUUCAGAAACCACAAAAUCUCUCUGAAUGACCCGCUGAUACAUCCACAGAUAACCCUGCAGAUGACCAGCUUCAGUCAUUUCCCCCUCCACAAAAGCAGAUUUAUGACUUUUUUUACUUUAUGACUUUAUUCUCCUAAAUUUACAACUUUAAUCUCUAAAUCUUAAAAGAAAAAAACCUCAAUGUUGUCCUGAUACUCUGCUGUAGUUUUGUCAGCUUUCUUAUUUCGAAUGUUUUUGAUUGUUGUAGCAGAGCGGAUCAGUUCGUCUCUAAAUCUAUAAUGUUUGGUUUACAGAUUUUAGUGAGUUCAGAGAUCAUGCUCUCAUACAGCCUGAGCUGACUGUCUGCUGUUUUCGGAUUGCUUGUAAUUUCUUUGAGGACACGCUGCGUCUCCAAGCGAGUCCAGCCUCUCACCUGAAAUGCGCAGCUGUGCAGCGGCACGCAAAGGAUUCUGGGAUACCGACGGCACGAAAGCGUGGAUAAAUGCACGCUUGAAAACAUGCUAAGCGCGCUUAGCAUUUUUUAGCAUCUCGUGCCAAACGGGACACCGUUCGCACCGUCGUGACGUCAUGCACACUUCAAAUGCACCGUUCGACGGUGCAGAAGGGCACUUAGGUCGAUGCGGUCUCUGAAAUGAGACACAGCCUCAGUUUCACCAGUUCUGUCAGGAGGAAUGGGCCAGAAUACCAGUAGAGUACUAAGUACUAUGUUAACUUAUAACUUCUGGUUUCAACUGUAUAUAUAUAUAUAUAUAUAUAUACACAUGUCUGUUUGUGUGUGUGUGUGUGUGUGUGUGUGUGUGUGUGUGUGUGCACUCUCAAAAUGAAUGUGUCAAAAGUAACUCAUCAUGUGUUAUUUCAAUUUACACAUAGCUGCGUUAUGUAUUCUUCACACAAAAGUGUUUUAUUUUCAUACAAUUUACAAAUGCAUUGCGCUUUACAAAGCGCUUUACAUUGGAUAUAUCAUUCAUUCGCUCAUCCAGUCACACUUUAGUGGUGGUUAACUACCUUAUAGUCACAGCUGCCCUGAGGCAGACAGAAACGUGGCUGCCAUUUUGCGCCUACGGCCCCUCCGACCACCACCACACAACACUCACAAUCAUACACCAGUGGAGGACACACACCGGGAGCAAGGUGAGUUAAGUGUCUUGCCCAAGGACACAACGGACAGACUUGGGAUAGGGGGGGAAUCGAACCGCCAACCUUCCAGUUAUUGGACGACCGCUCUUACCUCCUGAGCUACUGCGAUUAUCUGCUAAACUACCAAACCUGGUCACUAAAAAGAAUCAACAAUUGCUUGAAUCUCAAGUCACUUUUAAAAAAUUUAUUUGGUUCAGGCAGCAGUGCAAAAUCUUGGACUUUGUAAGACUUUAGUGCAAACUUGAGAGCAAAACAUAGUGCAAUCACAGAGUAUAAGCAUUAAACAUUUUGUAAACAUUUCAUUCUUAAACCAUCAGUGCAACAAUGGAAGACCUAAAAUACAGACAUGGCAUGUCAAACAACCGUCCCCUGCGGCUCGAGGCUGUGCGCUGGGCCGGGUUACAACGGCGUUACUCCCGUGGCGUGUAGUUUGAGUUGCAAAUGUAAAUGUGCCUCUCACACAUUUGUGAGUGCAGACCAACUCCUCAGCAAGCUUGAUUAUUAGCCUUUAGCUGUUAGCACAGCUGCCAUUGUUGCAUUUCAAAGCCAUCAAAGGCAGUGGCGAGUGCUGCCCCCAGGAGGAUCAAAGAAGGGAUUACACAACAUGAUUUUUUUCCAGAGCUGGUUCAUGUGGCAACUUUCUCAGUGCAUUGCUCCAAUCCACACCCCUAAAUUGGAGCUACAAGCUUCCAUGACCCAGGGUCACCCAGCCAGGGACCAUCCAGGUGUCUGAGUAAAGUGGACAGAUCAGCUGGGGGUCCUACAGAAAUAAGACUUAUAUAUUUGGAUUUAUUUCCCCCAAAAUGGAACUUAAUAUUUUAUUUUUAUUGAGUUAAAAUAGUACAACCCAAACCAUAGUCAAUUAAGAGAACCAUACGUCUGUGUGUGAGGAAAGGUAUACUCCUGUCUUCAGGGCACCGUGCUACUCAAGAAUCUGGUCUCAGAUACCAGUUCAGUGGCCUUGUGGUCCACCCUGAGACUGGGUGUUAGGAGGUUUGAUUCCCCUGCUGAGGGGCUUCCUCCCUCUCAAAAAUUAACUUACAGAAUUUAUAAGAAUAGAUUAUUCCAGAAUUAUUCAAAAGUAGGACAAUUAAUAAAGCCACUGCUUGGUUAAAAAUUACCCUGGCAGGUGUUUUCAUUAAUAACCUCUUUGACCUAGCAGUGGCUAACACAUGUUGUGUUUAAUUCACAUGAUAACUAUUUUAUGUGUUAAAAUAGCAUUAACUCAAAAGUGUGUCUAGGAUAAUAACACAGGAUGUGUAAAUAUAACAUAACAAAUGUUAAAAUAUAAUAACACAAAAAAUGUGUAUGAUUUUAACACAUUCAUUUUGAGAGUGUGUGUGUGUGUGUGUGUGUGUGUGUGUGUGUGUGUGUGUGUGUGUGUGUGUGUGUGUGUGUGUGUGUUUAGUUAGUUAGUUAGUUAGUUAGUUAUGGAAUAGACUUCAAUUUGUAUCAAGGCCUUUUUCAUAACACCCCCCCAAAAAAAGAAGCCCACCAUGGACACGGACCACCAUUACUAGAUAAUGCCAAUGUAAAUGCCGACUUUUAUUUCUCCCCUUCACUUUGUUCUAAGAACAUUUACACAUUUAUUCUCAACAUCCUAUUUUCACUUGUCUUGUGGUGUCCCUAAUACAUAAUUGCGAUAUCACAAUAAUGUUGUUUAGGCUAAUGUUGCUGUGGUGUGUUUGAGGCCUGUUGUUAAAUCUAGUUACUUCCAUAGCCUGCUCAAACUCCUCAGAGGUGUCUUUUACCCAAGAUUGUUUCAUAAUACAAACCACAAUUUUUACCCCCUGCUGUUUUCAAAAGCUUGUAUUUCUGUUAAAAUAAAACCCCUACAUCUUAAAGUCCAUGACUUUUCCUAAAAUGGAUUUAUUAAUUAUUCAGUUAAUGUUAGGGGUGCAAUCUAACUCCACCAAAAAGUACAGAUGGUUCCGAUUUUAAUGCCAUUUUUGGAGUUUAUGUUGUGAUUUGUGCACACAACCCACCUUUGUGAGGUUUAAAUACAUGCAACUUUAUGUGAGUGUCUGUUUGUGGAAAAGGGUGUUUGUCUUACCAGUGGGUCCAACAUUACACACACCAAAUCCAUCUGUGCUCAUCUGAAAUAGUGUGGAGGACGCCCAAUGCAGCGCUUAAGGUCCUUACACACCAGGCGAGAAUUCGCCAAGCGAAUUAUUCGCCUUUUUUAAAAACAGCAUAAAGUCAAUGCAAGCUUCCACAUCGGCUGCGAUUUUUCCGCGGGGCGAAAAGCUGCUUUUAUUUUUUCGCUCUUGUGUCGAAUUUUUCGGAUAUUCACAGGCGAAUAUGUAGACCUGCUAGACCUCUGGCCAAUCAAAAGUCAUGUUGUUGAUGACAUCACAGACCCAUACGGCUGGAGAAGAGGGAGAAGUUUGAGAUUAUGAAAACGCAGAGAAAGACAGCUGAGGUGCAUCCAAAACUCUUUCGAAUUACUAAUGAAGUAGUUUUCUCACAAGAUGACACUCUCUUGUCUUCCUUAGGAGACAGAUGUCAUGUGUCAUGUCCGUGCCGCAAAGCGACUUUAUUAAUUCGCUUUGCAAAAAAUAUACGCAUAUUCGCUUCACGGCCGGUGUGUAUAGGCGAAAGCGAUUUUUCGGACCGGCGAAUAUUCACAAUUUUCGUCUCGCUUUUUCGCUUCGCUCCGCAAAUUCGCCGGUGUGUAAGGACCUUUACAGUGACACUUGUUGAGGAGCUGCCUUCUGUCGCCAUUGUGUGGCAUUGCUGUAUUCAGACAUCUCUUGAUCUCUUUGACUACUGCACGGAAAUAGUAAUACGCCUCGCCAGUGGCAGAUUUAAAGGCGAGGAGAGGAGCUUAUGUGAUUGGUGAAAACAAGUCUCGGCUAGGUUAAAUCCACUCCACGCCCUCUCUCCUCCCUCGCUACGACUAACGCCGCUGGGAGGAGCUGAGUUAAGGAGGGGGGAUACUUACGCCGGGCUAUGCCGCUCACCAAAAUACCAAAUUGUACUUGGGAACGCCUUGUCGGCGCGGUGGAUCUGACUUAAGCUGCGCCUGCGGCACGUCUCCGGCGAGGCACUAAAAUUGAGCCCCUUGUGUACUGAGGCAGCCUGUGACCAAAGUCAAAAUCAGAGGAUGAACACCUCAAGCCAGUGAAGCUCUAAGUGACUGUUUUAAAUCAAAAGACUAGAAUGUGCUGCUGGAAACAGAUGUGGAUAGUAUGAGCAUUGACAGACAGGUUGACUGCUUUACUGAGUAUAUACACUCACCGGCCACUUUAUUAGGUACACCUGUCCAACUGCUUGUUAACACUUAAUUUCUAAUCAGCCAACCACAUGGCGGCAACUUAGUGCAUUUAGGCAUGUAGACAUGGUCAAGACAAUCUCCUGCAGUUCAAACCGAGCAUCAGUAUGGGGAAGAAAGGUGAUUUGAGUGACUUUGAACGUGGCAUGGUUGUUGGUGCCAGGAGGGCUGGUCUGAGUAUUUCAGAAACUGCUGAUCUACUGGGAUUUUCACGCACAACCAUCUCUAGGGUUUACAGAGAAUGGUCCGAAAAAGAAAAAAUAUCCAGUGAGCGGCAGUUCUGUGGGCGGAAAUGCCUUGUUGAUGCCAGAGGUCAGAGGAGAAUAGCCAGACUGGUUCGAGCUAAUAGAAAGGCAACAGUGACUCAAAUAACCACCCGUUACAACCAAGGUAGGCAGAAGAGCAUCUCUGAAGGCACAGUACGUUGAACUUUGAGGCAGAUGGGCUACAGCAGCAGAAGACCACACCGGGUGCCACUCCUUUCAGCUAAGAACAGGAAACUGAGGCUACAAUUUGCACAAGCUCAUCGAAAUUGGACAAUAGAAGAUUGGAAAAACGUUGCCUGGUCUGAUGAGUCUCGAUUUCUGCUGCGACAUUCGGAUGGUAGGGUCAGAAUUUGGCGUCAACAACAUGAAAGCAUGGAUCCAUCCUGCCUUGUAUCAACGGUUCAGGCUGGUGGUGGUGGUGUCAUGGUGUGGGGAAUAUUUUCUUGGCACUCUUUGGGCCCCUUGGUACCAAUUGAGCAUCGUUGCAACGCCACAGCCUACCUGAGUAUUGUUGCUGACCACGUCCAUCCCUUUAUGACCACAAUGUACCCAACUUCUGAUGGCUACUUUCAGCAGGAUAAUGCGCCAUGUCAUAAAGCUGGAAUCAUCUCAGACUGGUUUCUUGAACAUGACAAUGAGUUCACUGUACUCAAAUGGCCUCCACAGUCACCAGAUCUCAAUCCAAUAGAGCAUCUUUGGGAUGUGGUGGAACGGGAGAUUCGCAUCAUGGAUCUGCAGCCGACAAAUCUGCGGCAACUGUGUGAUGCCAUCAUGUCAAUAUGGACCAAGCUCUCUGAGGAAUGCUUCCAGCACCUUGUUGAAUCUAUGCCACGAAGAAUUGAGGCAGUUCUGAAGGCAAAAGGGGGUCCAACCCGUUACUAGCAUGGUGUACCUAAUAAAGUGGCCGGUGAGUGUACAGUGCAUCAGGAAAGUAUUCAUACCACUUCACUUUUUCCACAUUUUGUUAUGUUACAGCCUUAUUACAAAAUUGAUUAAAUUCCCCUUUUCCCUCAAAAAUUCUACACAAAAUACCCCAUAAUGACAAAGCAAAAAACUUUUUUUAGAACAUUUUGCAAAUUUAUUAAAAAUAAGAACACUCAAAUGUUGCAUAAACAUAAGUAUUCACACCCUUUACUCAAUACUUGGUCGAAGCAGCGAUUACAUCCUCCAGUCUUCUUGUGUAUGAUGCAACAAGCUUGGCACACCUGGAUUUGGGGAGUUUUCCCAUUCUUCCUUGCACAUCCUCUCAAGCUCAGUGAGGUUGGAGGGGCAGCGUCGGUGCACAGCUACUUUCAGGUCUUCAAUCAGGUUCAAGUCUGGGCUCUGGCUGGGCCACUCAAGGACAUUCAGAGACUUGUCCUGAAGCCACUCCUUUGUCUUCUUGGCCAUGUGGAUUCAGUUGUUUUAUUUAUUUAGUUUUUACUCUAUCUUUUAACCGGCCAAGAAUUUUAAAUCGGAUUUUGAGCUGCUUUUAAAUGAACUGAUUCGCCGGUUUUUAUGUAGCCGGCGGUUAAAGCUGCUAACCUCUGCUCACUGAACCUUAAACCAUGGAAACACUCACCUCCUCACACGAGUGCAACAGCUGCCUCAAAAAAUCCAAAACUAUCGCUGAGCUGGAACGACGUAUUUCCAGCCUCCACUGGAUCCGCAACGAGGAGUCACUCCUGGACUCGAUGUUGACGCUGGGUGCGGGCCUCCCUGUGAACCCAGCCGAACUGGACUCCACCAUCCCGGCAGCCGCUGCUCCGCAGGCUCCACCGGCCCCAGCGAGCGCUGCUGCUGCCUCUGGCUCCCCACCUUCCACCGCGGAGGCUCCUGCUGAGCCGGCUCAUCCUCAACCCGGGGAACCUUGGCUGACUCAGGGGGCAAGGCCAAAGCGAGUGCCGGCUCCCGCACUGGACUUCACUCCUCACCCGAGGUUCAACAUUCGGAGUUCCACCCCACGGUCAACAGCGGCUGCAAAGAGGAGGACCAGCCUGAAACCACUGAAAUCCCACUUCGAUCUCCAGCUGUCCUCGAGGUACGAUGUACUCAGUGUUGCGGAUUUUCCUCCGCUGCCAGGAAGGCCAGAUCCGGGCCCAGCUGAUGUCGGACGAAGCGCAGCCUCACCUCCAUCUUCUGCUAGGGAACGAGGAGGUGAACGGAGGUAUGCACACGGGGCCUCGGCGCCCCCCUCCUCCCCCCCGUCAUGCAUACUCCCCGACCCGGUGCAAACCGUUCAGGGAACCUCUGCGAAGGCACUCCGCUGGGAACAGAGGUUCUCCGGCCCCCACUUGCGCACCACCGCCACCGCCGCGUCCUCGCCCACUGUUCCCGCCGACCACGGCAAUCAUCGGAGACUCCAUCGUGAGGCACGUCCGUUUUUUUAACGCAGUAACCCACUGCUUCCCAGGCGCCACUGUCCCAACUCUCCUCCAUAAACUCCCGGAGCUGCUGGGCUCACUCCCAUCCUCCAUCACGAGGCUGGUUUUACACCUGGGUUUUAACGACACUUCCUCCCGUCAGUCUGAAGUGACCAAGGACUAUUUUAAGAAACUUUUUAAGGUUCUCACCGACUACGGUAAGUCUGUUUUUAUCUCGGGGCCCCUCCCCUCCUUCGACCGUGGCAUGGGGCGCUUCAGCAGACUCCUCAGCCUGAACACCUGGCUCCAUUCCGCCUGCCCUUGCGGGUUCCGUUUUAUCGACAAUUUUAACUUGUUUUGGAACCGAUCCCCGUUCUAUAGGGCUGACGGGGUCCACCCCUCUCGCCUGGGCAGCAGGGUGCUCGGCGACAACAUUCGACAUGCUGUCCAGUCCACAUACACACCUACACACACACCUGACACACACACGUGACUGAUUUCCCCCUCUUCCUCUGUGUCACUGUCCCAAGCCACUACCGCCGCCACCAGCCCCCCCUACCGCCCACCCCCAGUACUACACCAUACCACUGCCACUUCUCCUCCAAUCUCAUCCUCUGCCUGCAUACAGUCAGUUUCACCAACACCUCACUUACAGUUCACCCCCAUAUCCUGCAUCCCAGUCAGAAUCUCACACCGAGCCCACAGAACAUUCCCUUCACGGACCAUCAACUUAACUCCAGUCACAUUGGCUCCCAUUUCACCACUGCCUGAGGAUGAGCGCACGCUCGGCACAAACACUAAUAUGGCCGUGCUGAAUGUGCGCUCGCUUUUAAAUAAGUCGUUUAUCAUCCAUGAUCUGAUUUUAGACAAUAAUUUAGACAUUCUCCUUUUAACAGAGACAUGGCUUGGCACUGAUGCUUCAAUUGUUCUCACCGAGGCUUGCCCCCCUAAUUUUAAUUUUUUAUUUUCAACAAGGGGGGGUAGAAAAGGAAGGGGGCACUGCCUCAAUAUUUAAAAACAAAUUGUGCCCAAAUGAAGUUUCUUUUAACAGUUUUACAUCAUUCGAAUACCACGCAUUUGUUUUUAGCAGUCCUCCUACUCUCUGUAUUACAAUUUACAGACCACCCCACUACUCCAACUCUUUUAUCAGCGAAUUUUCUGAUCUAUUAUCCAUUUUACAUACUACCCAUAACAGGAUUUUAAUAACUGGUGAUUUUAACUUGCACAUUGAUACAGCGUCUGAUCCAAUGUCUAAGGAGUUUUUAAACCUUUUAAAUUGCAUGGGUUUUAAACAGCAUGUGGCACAGCCGACUCACAACAGAGGGCACACCCUGGAUUUGGUCAUAACUUCCGGCCUAUCCACUGGUGUGUCCUCUGUUGUCGACCUGGCUGUGUCGGAUCACUACUGUGUGUAUUUUAAUAUCACCAGUUUUAACCAUCAGGAGGCCCCGGUGAGAACGGUGAGGAAACGCUACCUAACCCCCGAAGUGGCUGCAAAUUUUAUUGGGAUUUUACAGAGCACUCCUGCCGCAAUUUUACCUGCACCAUGCGAUUUUAUUGUGGACCAUUUUAACAGAACAUUAAAAACCACAUUGGACACAGUGGCUCCACCCGUAAUUAAAACUAUUAAAACAAAACCCUUACCCCCAUGGAGAAAAAACAACGAAAUCAGAAACACAAAGAGAAAAUGCAGGAGUGCCGAACGCAAAUGGAGAAAAACCAAAUUAACAGUUCACCUCGAAAUACUACAGGACUCACUCAAAAAAUACAACAAUGCAGUAAAAAAGGCAAGAACAGCCCACUUCUCAAAACUCAUCACAGACCAUAAAAACAAUUCCAAAUUCCUCUUUUCCACCAUCGACCUCUUAACAAACUCCCAUUUUAAAAAAUCUUUUAAGACCCCCACAGACGCCCUCUGUGAGGACUUUGCAGACCACUUCGGGAGCAAAAUUGAUGAUAUUAGAUCCAGUCUUUUAACUCAUCAGAAUGUGAUUUCCAACACAUCUGAACAGCUGAUUUUACCUGAGGAAACACUGGAGAGUUUUGCCCUGGUUGACGCAAGGACACUUGGUCGAGUUUUCUCCCAAGCAAACCCAACUACCUGCCUUUUAGAUCCGAUUCCCACAUCAUUUUUAAAAACAUUUUACGAAUUUUUUGAGGAACAGAUUUUAACCAUAGUAAAUUGCUCUCUUCAGACAGGGGUCUUCCCCACUGCCUUUAAAACGGCGGUGGUGAGGCCCCUUCUGAAGAAGAGAAAUUUGGAUACUGAUGUUUUUAAUAAUUAUCGACCCAUAUCCAACUUACCGUUUUUAAGUAAAAUCUUAGAAAGACUGGUUUUUAACCAAGUAAAUUAUUUCUUAAAAAGUAAUAAUAUCUUAGAGAAGUAUCAAUCCGGUUUUAGGAUGAACCACAGUACCGAGACAGCCCUUUUAAAGAUUUUAAAUGAUAUCAGGUGUAAUGCCGAUAAACAGAAACUCACAGUUCUGGUACUACUGGAUCUAAGCGCUGCCUUUGACACAGUAGAUCACCAGAUUUUAUUAAGCAGACUCAGGCACCUGGUGGGCCUCUCUGGGACUGUUUUUAACUGGUUCAUUUCUUAUCUCUCGGAACGAUCCUUCUUUGUAAGUAUGGAUACCUGUUCCUCAAAAACUCAUGAAAUUAAGUGUGGGGUGCCCCAAGGGUCAAUUUUAGGUCCAAUACUUUUUAAUCUCUAUAUGCUUCCCCUUGGGGACGUCAUCAGGAGACACGGCAUCAGCUUCCAUAGUUACGCUGACGAUACACAGUUGUACAUUGCCGUGUCUCCUGAGGACACAGGGCCUAUUGAUGCCCUUUUUAACUGCAUUUUAGAUAUCAAGUCAUGGAUGGCAGAGAAUUUCCUACAGCUCAACCAGGACAAAACAGAAGUUUUAAUUAUUGGUCCUGAAGGCAAGAGAGAGAAACUUUUACCAAAACUACAAGAUUUUAAACCUGCUCAAUCUGUUAAGAAUCUGGGCGUAAUUUUUGACUCUGAGCUGAAUUUUAUUCCACAUAUCAAGAACAUAACAAAGAUAGGUUUUUACCAUUUUAAGAAUAUAGCCAGAGUCCGCCCGUUUCUCUCUCAGGCCAACACGGAGGUGCUGAUGCAUGCUUUUAUUUCUAGUCGUUUAGAUUACUGUAAUGCCCUGCUCUCUGGUCUUCCCAAAAAGACCACCCACAUGUUACAACUGCUACAAAAUUCUGCAGCACGUGUGCUGACGAGGACCAGAGGGCGGGAGCACAUUACACCGGUUUUAAAAUCCCUGCACUGGCUCCCCGUGUGUUUCAGGAUCGAUUUCAAGGUUCUUUUAGUAGUUUUUAAGUGUCUUAAUGGUCUUGGCCCAUCUUAUUUAUCUGAACUGCUUUUAUCUUAUCAACCCUCGCGUACCCUGAGGUCCUCUGGCGCCGGCCUUUUAGUUGUUCCUCAUACAAAAACCAAAACUCACGGAGAGGCUGCCUUCAGCCAUUAUGGCCCAAAGUUAUGGAACAGCCUGCCAGAGAACAUCAGGACCGCAGAGACUGUUGAUGUUUUUAAAAGGAGGCUCAAGACCCACCUUUUUAGUUUGGCUUUUAGCUGAUUUAACUGUUUUAGUUUAUUUUAUCCUUUACUUUUAUCACAUUUUUAUGUCACUUAGAUAUUCUAACAUUAUUCUAAUUUGGUUUUAGUUUAUUUUAUCCUUUACUUUUAUCACAUUUUUACGUCAUUUAGAUAUUUUAAUAUUAUUUUAAUUCCUUCUAUGCCCUAGUCUUUUUAGCUCCAGAGUUUCCUCGUGGGGGCCCUCAACACUGGGAGGUAUGUCUGGUCCGCCCCCGGGGGGCGCGGUCCUUGGGAUCGUCCAGGCCCAGACGGUUAGGGGGCUCUGCACUAUGUGCAGGGUGCACCCGGGCUGUCUGGGUCGGGGGGUCUCGGGGGCGGUGCUCCCUGUGGGGGUGGGCUGUGGCUCCUCUCGGUGUGGACGGCUCCCAUAGGUGGUCUUUCCUUACCAGAAUCAUCAGUGCCUUGCCAUGUUUUUACUGACAGUUACUGUGUGGGUGUGUGGAUACGUGUGUGCGUGUAUGUGUGUGUGGGGUGGGCUGCUGUGCAUGCCUGUAUAUGCUGCUGUGGGUGGGAAGGGAUGGGUUUUAUGCCUAUUUAAGUGCCCUAUAUUUACUGUUGUUUGUUUUGUUUUUUCUUUUUUUAACGUUGUUUGUUUUUACCUCUUUGUAAAGCACUUUGUGUUGCAGCUUAAAAGCAUGAAAGGUGCUAUAUAAAUAAAGUUUGAUUGAUUGAUUGAUUGAUGUGCUUAGGGUCAUUGUCAUGCUGGAAGAUGAAGCGUCACCCCAGUCGAAGGUCUCGAGUGCUCUGGAGCAGGUUUUCAUCAAGGAUUUCGAUGUACUUAGCUGCAUUCAUUUUUCCCUUGAUCCUGACAAGUCUCCCAGUUCCUGCCACUGAAAAACAUCCCCACAGCAUGAUGCUGCCACCACCAUGCUUCACUGUAGGGAUGGUAUUGGCGAGGUGGUGAGCGGUGCCUGGUUUCCUCCAGACAUGACGCUUGGCAGUGGCGGGCCGUGCAUUUCACAAGUAGGCCUUCAGUAGUGCUCCGUCUGAAGAGAUUUCCCUAUUUUUUAAGAUUUCCCUAUUUUUCUUCACCUUUUCGUUGUGGGGCUCUGUUUCCCUGUGCACUUGCUCGCUCAGCUGUAGAUCCACUCUGGUUUCCCCAAAGGUUUUGGAAAGCACCGUUGCUUGUAAGUGUCCAGUAGUGCUUUGAUGCCUCGUUGCUGCCUUGGUUAGGCAAGUCAAAUUUACAAAUCCAGUGUGGCUCCAAACACCAUGUCGAUCAGUGGCAAAUAACAAGCACUCCCAGCAAUACAAUUUGCAGCGUUCCUCGGAGCCUGUGAGCCAGGAGUACCGCUCGUAGUUAGUGGACUGAAAGUGACGGACAAAUCCUUUUCCCAGUUGUGACAGGCUUGCUAGCUUCGGAGUUGCCCGACCUUGCUUAACAAUGUCCAGCUUUUCUUGAAAAGUCCGUCUUGAAAAUGGCUUUGACAGUAAAUCUGCAACCAAAUCCAUUUCUUCUUCUCCUCCUUCAGCCAUUGUGGGUUGACAAAACAGCUAUUAAAUCAACACAAUAAUAUCUAUGCUUGUGCAGCUCGCUACAGAUGCAGUUUGCUAGCUCUGGCUAGUACACUCUCUGACUAUCCAAUCAAAGCGUGUGAUUAUGUGGUCUUGGCUUAUUUCUCCAUCUGAAAACAUACAAUUUGGAACUUUUUGUACAUCUAUGUUUUGAAUGUAUUAAGGUUGCAAAUUUGGAAUGAUCAGGCUAUGACUGGCUUGACUUACACUAGCUGGUAGUUAGGAGGCUAAAGGCCCACCUCAUCUAUACAUCUGUAGCAAUCAAGACAACCCUGGGUGUGAAACUCACACAUUCCUCACAGGAAAGUUUCCUUAUCUGGUCCCAGGAAACAGGAUAUAAAUCUUUCCAGACUCGUUUACACUUUCAGGUUACCUAGAUGACCCAACCGGAGGUUGACUAAACCUCUGACUCUUCACGAUUGGUCGAUUCGGAGAACAGAGACAGAGUUUUUAUUACCUUUCAAACUGACUCCAUUUGCUGACCAUCUAAAUAAACAUUAACCUCAACCCAUUAACAUUAACCUGUGUGAACAUACGGACCCCAGGAAAAGGGGGGACACUGACCUCCAGACCUCGGUCGUAAAACCCUGCUCGACCAUACACUGAUAAAGACUACAUUCCUUUGGUGAAAGAAUACAAAUGACUGAUCAUGACAUCUUAUGCAUUCAGCAAUGUACUAUUCUGUCUAAUCAUGAAAUUUGUGUUAAAAUGAGAUGUUUCCCGUUUUUCUAUGUGCUCCAGAAGCAGAGUUAUCACUCUGACAGAAUAAAUCCUUUAUUCUUUAGUUUCCUUAGACCAACAGCUUUUCAGACUGUUUCAUGAACUUUUAAGAGUUAAAUGUAUUGAUUGUGACUCAUAAUUUAACUCUAAUUAACAGAAAUAGUUUAGAAAUGUUUGGUUUAUAUUUUAGUUGUUUAUUUAGUAAUUUUAACCAUUACUGGGUUAUAAUGUCAUUGAAUAAUCUCAAUGUGAGUAUUUAGAAUCCAUUGUUAAUCAUGAUGAAGUUCAUUUACAUGUAUUUACUCUUUUGGUGUUCACAGUCUCCAUGUGUUACUAUCUGUUUCAUUUCAGAGUAAUUUAGCAUGUUCAAUGUGAUACUUAAAACAUAAUGAGAAUGUUUGAUAUGAUCCUACACUUCAUUCAUAUGUGUUUAGUAUGAAAUUAUUUAUCAUGAAACCAAGCAUUCAAUGAUAUUAAUCAUAGUGAGUGAGUAUCAGAUCUGACUCUUUUACCAGCCAAAAGUAUAAGUUAGAUCAUAUAAUCAGAGAUCCGAGGUCUCCGCUGCUUGGAGACCCCACGACCCCUCCUCUGUCUCCUCACACACACGCCGGAGACACUCCCAGUGUAAGAAGAUAAAACCAGUGAAGUGGGGUUGCUCAUUCUCUUAUUCCUCUUCUGCUCUUUCUCUUAUGCCCCGUACUUUUGUACCCUUCCUCUUCUCUCCUCUUCUUUGUUUUCUCUUAGAACUUUUCUUAGUUUUCUAAGUUUUACGCCACGUGUUGAUUCACGUUGAUUUUUCUUUAACAUCAUCUUAGUUCAAGUUUUGAAACUUCAACUUUUUGUGCGCAUAGCUAUUCAAGAUUAAGCCUUUGAUUGAUUUUUCUUUAAUUUCGCGAAGCCAUUUUUGAAAGUUUUCUCUGCUCGAGUCUCGUUUUUCUGAGUUAUCUGCGUGAUUUCAAGUCACCUCUGAACACAACCCAGCAGGCCCAGGUCAUCCUCUGUGCCAGAGUUUUUGAGUGAGACCAAAGAAGUACCCAAACGAGCAUCCACAGGAUCCACAGGCGCUGGUUUUGCUUCGGGCCCGAGUGCUGCAACUCCUGGCCCAUCCUUCGGCUGACUUCAGUCGUCUUCUGAGCUGAACCGCUCGAACCGCCAGUAGCCCCGGACCUUCGGAACCUGCUUCAUCUUCUCCAAGGACCAGUCUCACUUAAGUAUGCAAACCUCCAGAGCUCCAAAGAGGGCUGAUGCUGUCUCACGCGUUCAUAACUCAGAUAUCCUCUUAUUCUGGUAAUCUUAGAUUCCUCCAAAUCCACAUCCGAGUUUAUCUCGACACCAAAGUUAGUGUAGGUUAAUAUGUUAGCGCAUAUUCACUCACUAUCAUUAACUUUAGUGCUCCUAGCCUGACUCAGAACCUUUAUUUAUUCACCUAUUAUUAUUUAUCCUCAUUAUCUUAUCAUCAUUUAUUG